UGGGGAAUCUUGCACAAUGGGCGAAAGCCUGACCGAGCGAUGCCGCGUGCGGGAUGAAGGCCUUCGGGUUGUAAACCGCUGUCGUAGGGGAGAAAGGGUCGUUGAAGAAACGACUUUGAUCUAUCCUAGGAGGAAGUCCGGGCUAAGUUCGUGCCAGCAGCCGCGGUAACACGAACCGGACAAACGUUAUUCGGAAUUACUGGGCUUAAAGGGUGCGUAGGCGGUGCGGUAAGUGCGGUGUGAAAUCCCACGGCUCAACCGUGGAAUUGCGCUGCAUACUGCCGUGCUAGAGGGAGACAGGGGUAAGCGGAACUGAUGGUGGAGCGGUGAAAUGCGUUGAUAUCAUCAGGAACACCGGUGGCGAAAGCGGCUUACUGGGUCUCUUCUGACGCUGAGGCACGAAAGCUAGGGUAGCGAACGGGAUUAGAUACCCCCGUAGUCCCUGAGCGGGCUGGCAAGGCGCAU
rnacentral:rRNA from 1 species